UAUACGGAGAGUUUGAUUCUGGCUCAGAACGAACGCUGGCGGCGUGGAUAAGACAUGCAAGUCGAACGGAAGAUUUUUGGAGCUUGCUUUGAAAAUCUUUAGUGGCGAACGGGUGAGUAACACGUGAGCAACCUGCCCAAAAGAGGGGGAUAGCCUUCCGAAAGGAAGAUUAAUACCGCGUUAGGUCCCUCAGGACAUCCUGAGGAGAUUAAAGGUGGCCUUUGUGCUGCCGCUUUUGGAUGGGCUCGCGGCCUAUCAGCUUGUUGG
rnacentral:rRNA from 1 species